GUGAAUCAUCGAAUCUUUGAACGCAAAUUGCACUCUCUGGUAUUCCGGAGAGAAUGCCUGUUUGAGUGUCAGUUUAAAUAAAAAUCGGUGUGGUUGCUGCCUUUCGUUGUGACGCUCCGGAUUUGGGUCGUCUUGGUUUCGGUUAAGUGACCUCAGAUUUUGCAUGAUUUUUUUCGAACGAAAUUAAAUUAUUUUACUUAUGUUUGCGCUAUCUAAUACUAGCUGUGGUCAUCCACAUGUUUC
rnacentral:misc_RNA from 1 species